AUGAAUGUUGAUGUUGCAUUAUCUCGCAAUGGUGAAAGGGGAUCCCUGGCAGUUGUGAGCCGGGAUCAUACAGGCUUCUUCCUUGGAGCAUCGGCACUGGUGUGUGAAAGUGUUACUGAUCCGGAGAUCCUAGAGGCAAUGGCAUGCUGCGAGGGGCUAUCUCUGGCUCUUGACUUAAACCUGCAACAAGUUCAGAUUAGCACCGAUUGUUCAGCAACAGUCAAGCAUAUUGGAGAGGCAUACUUGGGGCCCAACAAAGUUAUUAUGGACGAGAUCAAGAUGAAGAAGAAUAUGUUCCAAACCAUGGAGAUCAUACAUGAAAAACGCGAGUGUAAUGUUGAAGCGCAUGUGCUCGCAAAAGCUACUACUUCUUUGCCCUGUGGACGCCAUCUUUGGCUCACAGGAACCCCCAAAAUUAUUUGUAUACCUAUGACUGUUAAUCUUCAAUAA
rnacentral:rRNA from 1 species